CGCGGGGUGGAGCAGUCUGGUAGCUCGUUAGGCUCAUAACCUAAAGGUCAGUGGUUCAAAUCCACUCCCCGCAACCA
rnacentral:tRNA from 1 species